GACGAACGCUGGCGGCGUGCUUAACACAUGCAAGUCGAACGGAAAGGCCCUGCUUUUGUGGGGUGCUCGAGUGGCGAACGGGUGAGUAACACGUGAGUAACCUGCCCUUGACUUUGGGAUAACUUCAGGAAACUGGGGCUAAUACCGGAUAGGAGCUCCUGCUGCAUGGUGGGGGUUGGAAAGUUUCGGUGGUUGGGGAUGGGCUCGCGGCUUAUCAGCUUGUUGGUGGGGUAGUGGCUUACCAAGGCUUUGACGGGUAGCCGGCCUGAGAGGGUGACCGGCCACAUUGGGACUGAGAUACGGCCCAGACUCCUACGGGAGGCAGCAGUGGGGAAUAUUGCACAAUGGGCGGAAGCCUGAUGCAGCAACGCCGCGUGCGGGAUGACGGCCUUCGGGUUGUAAACCGCUUUCGCCUGUGACGAAGCGUGAGUGACGGUAAUGGGUAAAGAAGCACCGGCUAACUACGUG
rnacentral:rRNA from 1 species